ACAAAUUAUUUAGGCCCCUGGCUGCCCCAAAAGGGCGAAGGGGGGAAACCUAAACAUUUGUGUGCACUAUAUCUGUCUUUGGCAGUUCGAGUGUCCUGGGUGCGUAACUGCCUCGGGUACCUACCGAGGCUUACCCUUUGGGGUUUGCCGGAGUUGGGCUGCCGCCUUUUUGAAAAAACCUUUUGUUUUGUUUUGUCUGAAAUUUGUUUGAUCUUUAUGAUUGGAUUUUAAAUA
rnacentral:misc_RNA from 1 species